GGGGCAGUUGCGGCCGGGCUUAAACAUGCAAGUCGAACGAUGAACCGCUUUCGGGCGGGGAUUAGUGGCGAACGGGUGAGUAACACGUGGGCAAUCUGCCCUGCACUCUGGGACAAGCCCUGGAAACGGGGUCUAAUACCGGAUAUGACUGUCCAUCGCAUGGUGGAUGGUGUAAAGCUCCGGCGGUGCAGGAUGAGCCCGCGGCCUAUCAGCUUGUUGGUGAGGUAGUGGCUCACCAAGGCGACGACGGGUAGCCGGCCUGAGAGGGCGACCGGCCACACUGGGACUGAGACACGGCCCAGACUCCUACGGGAGGCAGCAGUGGGGAAUAUUGCACAAUGGGCGAAAGCCUGAUGCAGCGACGCCGCGUGAGGGAUGACGGCCUUCGGGUUGUAAACCUCUUUCAGCAGGGAAGAAGCGAAAGUGACGGUACCUGCAGAAGAAGCGCCGGCUAACUACGUGCCAGCAGCCGCGGUAAUACGUAGGGCGCAAGCGUUGUCCGGAAUUAUUGGGCGUAAAGAGCUCGUAGGCGGCUUGUCACGUCGGUUGUGAAAGCCCGGGGCUUAACCCCGGGUCUGCAGUCGAUACGGGCAGGCUAGAGUUCGGUAGGGGAGAUCGGAAUUCCUGGUGUAGCGGUGAAAUGCGCAGAUAUCAGGAGGAACACCGGUGGCGAAGGCGGAUCUCUGGGCCGAUACUGACG
rnacentral:rRNA from 1 species